rnacentral:rRNA from 1 species
UACGGAGGGUGCUAGCGUUGUUCGGAAUCACUGGGCGUAAAGGGCGCGUAGGCGGCCGUUUGCGUCGGAUGUGAAAGCCCGGGGCUCAACCUCGGAACGGCAUUCGAUACGGGACGGCUGGAGACCGGGAGAGGAGAGUGGAAUAGCCAGUGUAGAGGUGAAAUUCGUAGAUAUUGGCUGGAACACCGGUGGCGAAAGCGGCUCUCUGGCCCGGUUCUGACGCUGAGGCGCGAAAGCGUGGGGAGCAAACAGG